CGGAGGAAGGUGGGGAUGACGUCAAAUCAUCAUGCCCCUUAUGUCUAGGGCUGCAAACAUGCUACAAUGGCCGGUACAAAGGGCUGCGAUACCGUGAGGUGGAGCGAAUCCCAAAAAGCCGGUCUCAGUUCGGAUUGGGGUCUGCAACUCGACCCCAUGAAGUUGGA
rnacentral:rRNA from 1 species